AUCUUAUGGGACUUCAAUGUGUGGUUUAUAUGGCCUCAGGCUCUCCCACCUCAAUAGUUAGCUUUUGGGUUGUGGUUCUCCUAAGGUCCAUAUCAAUGUGGUUCCAUGUUGAUCUGAAAGAUAACUGUCCUGCAGAGGAUAUGACUUAUAUGCAUGGAAAGAUAGGAGAGGGAAUUUUUCAGUUAAUGGUAUGUGGAGGAUGGCAAUCUCUCUCUCUCUCUCUCUCUGGUUUUCUAAAUCGAUAAUCACAGAUUCUAGAUAAAAUUGCUGGUUCUCACUUUCUUAUCAAAUUGACUUUAGAAGGUGUUACUCUAGCAAUUUACUGUUUGGAUCUGAUAUUGCCUUCAUAGAUCCCUACAAUUUAAAAUGACAGUCAAUGUUCCAACAUUUUUCAUACAAUGCGCAAUAUAUGCAGUUAUUUAAUAAUGUCUUAGAAAAACAGUUCGUUGUGUAGAAAGCAAUAUAUCCUGUAUUGGAAUCUGUAUAAUCCUGAAGAUCGUUUGGGUAGCAAGCCCUAUAAUCAGAAUGUAUAUUCUUGUAAAAGAAUUUGCAUAAUCAUGUCAAGUCCAAACCAAGUUCCAUGUAUUAGUAACUUUUCAGACAAACUGAGUUUUAUGCUCGUGUUUUUUCCCCAUGUUCUAGAGCGAGCCAUUCUCUUGGAA